GGAAAGAUGAAAAGAAUUUUGAAAAGAGAGUUAAACAGUACGUGAAAUUGUUGAAAGGGAAACGAUUGAAGUCAGUCAUACCAACGGGAAAUCAACCUUUUGAGUUCGUUCUUGUGGGUUUCGAGGAGUUUAAAAGCCUUCUGAUUUGCUAGGAUUGGGCUCUUUUGGUGUACUUUCUCGUACGGUUAGUCAACAUCGGUUUUGAAUGUCAUAAAAUGAUUGGAGGAAUGUGGCUUCGAUCUCGUAUCGGAGUGUUAUAACCUUUGGUAGAUGUGAUGUUCGAGACCGAGGAUUGCAACGGAUACCUUUCAGGCUAUUCGUCUGAUCUCUGAAAGUUGCUCUGGUGCCGAAAGCUCGCUUACGGUCAUCAAAGUUGACGUUCAACAGGUUAGAACGGGAUAAAUUCGUUAAGGAUGUUGACGUAAUGGCUUUAAACGACCCGUCUUGAAACACGGACCA
rnacentral:rRNA from 2 species